rnacentral:rRNA from 1 species
CCAACAACCAACAACCAACAACCAACAACCAACACAUUUGACACCAGGUAGUAGCUGUGACCGAACCCACGAAACCGACGCAAUAGAGGUAGUACUGUGAAGGAAAAGUGAAAGAUUUAGUACAGCAAAAAAAAGCAGGUCUAAAGACCCGUACCUCUUGCAUCACCGUUUAGCAAGCACACCCAGACAAAGAGCCUUCAAGCCUGUCAUCCCGAACGCAAGUGAGCUAUCCCCAGGCAGUAAUUGAACUAACCCAUUUCUGUAGCAAAAGGACGGGAAGACUUGAGGAUAGAGGCAAAAAACCAACCGAACUUGCUGAUAGCUGGUUGCCUGAAAUAAGAACCUAAGUUCAAACUUGGGUACCCAACCCGUAAAAAAAUAAUGUAUAUCUUUACCCAAGAACUAGUCAAUGAAGGUACAGCUCCAUUGACUAAGGAAACAGCCUCAGCCAGAGAGUAACUACCACCCUACUACCUGUUGGCCUCAGAACAGCCACCAAAAAAUAUAACGUUAUAGUAACAAUAAAAAAAUUCCAAACUUAGAUACCUCCUGGUCCUACUGAACCGGGCCACUCUAUAACAAACAUAGAAGAAACCAUGCUAAAACUAGUAAUAAGAAAGAUUCUCCACGGACAAAAUUUUAAACUUAUCAGACCAAAAACGGAAGCAUGAGGCCUGCUUAACGCACCCUGCACCUCACUGUAAAACCAACUCAGGGUUGUCCAUAGAACGGCCAAAAGCCUAAAAAGGAACUCGGCAAACUUUUUGACCUUUCCAACUGUUUACCAAAAACAUAGCCUUUAGACAUCAAAAAUAUUAAAGGUACCGCCUGCCCAAUGAGAGAAAACUCUUCAAUGGCCGCGAUAUAACCGUGCAAAGGUAGCAAAAUCAUUUGUCCCCCAAAUAGGGACCAGUAUGAAUGGCCACAUGAGAAAGAAACUGUCUCUUUAGGCCCGCCAAUGAAACUGAUCUGUCUGUACAAACGCAGACAUGAAAAAGCAAGACAAAAAGACCCUGUGAAACUUUAAAUGCCCGUCAUACAAAUGAUCAAGGCAUUUUUGGUUGGGGCAACCAAAGAGAAAUACAAACCUCUUAAACCGUCAUAAGGCAAACAAGCCUAAUGACUAAACCCACAGAUCCAGUAUUACUGAACAAAGAACCAAGCUACUCCAGGGAUAACAGCGCUACAUUCUUGAAGAGUCCCUAUCAACAAGAAUACCUACGACCUCGAUGUUGGAUUAGGAUACCCGAGUGGCGCAAAAGCUAUUUAGGGUUCGUUUGUUCAACGAUUAAAAUCCCACGUGAUCUGAGUUCAGACCGGAGCAAUCCAGGUCGGUCUAUAUCUGCUGAAGUCUUCAGCUAGUACGAAAGGACCGAUGAAGAAAGGGCUAUUUAAACAUACCCCUUACCCCCCAAAAACUGCUCAAGAAUUAAGUUUUGAGUAACACCCACAACGCCCCAAAAAAAGGGGCA